GGAUGUGAGGGCAAUCUGGCUGCGACGUCUGUCACCCCAUUGAUCGCCAGGGUUGAUUCGACUGAUCUGGCUGGCUAGGCGGGUGUCCCCCUCCUCCCUCACCGCUCCAUGUGCGUCCCUCCGGAAGCUGCGCACUCGGUCGAACAGGACGACCAUCCCCGGUAUAGGAGGAUCGUUCGUCUCGGUCAAGGGUAUACCAGUAGCUGCGCUCCACUGCUAGCCCCUCUAAACAAGCUCUCAAGACAUGCGUGCCUGGUUCUCAGAAGCCAUUGACUUCUGUCACUGAAAACAGUACAAACUGCAGCCUACCUUAGCUCUGCAGUU
rnacentral:snRNA from 1 species